GGUUGUAUAGUGUAGCGGUUAGCACAGCAGAUUUGAAGUACCUUGAAAUUAGGUUAUUUGAUGUUCUGCAAUCCCCGGUUCGAGCCCGGGUACGACCU